GGGGGAACCCAGCACUGUUAAACCGGUGUUAUUCCCGCCUGAAUAUAUAGGGCGGGUAAAGCCAAGCGGGGGAAGUGAAACAUCUCAGUACCCCGAGGAAAGUAAAUCAAACGAGACUCCCCAAGUAGUGGCGAGCGAACGGGGAAGAGCCCAAACCGCACGUGUGUAAGUGGUCACGCGUUGCUCGUGCGGUGUUGUAGGGCAGUUGUCCAGGUUGUGACUGACCUGGCAGGAGUUACAAAAGUUGUAUGUAGCUGAAGCGCUUGGAACUGCGCACCAUAGAGGGCAAUCGUCCCGUAAGCGAAACGUACAACUCUCCUGAUGCUGUUCCUGAGUAAGUCCAUGCUCGUGAAACGUGGACUGAAUCUGGGGGGACCACCCUCCAAGGCUAAGUACUCCUUGGUGACCGAUAGCGCACUAGUACUGUGAAGGAAAGGUGAAAAGUACCCCGGGAGGGGAGUGAAAUAGUACCUGAAACCAUGUGCCUACAAGCGGUCGGAGCUCCUUUGGGGGUGACGGCGUGCUUUUUGCAUAACGAGCCAGCGAGUUGCUCGUCUGCGGCAAGGUUAAGCGAUGAGCGGAGCCGGAGCGAAAGCGAGUCCUAAUAGGGCGAUCAUCUAGUCGUAGGCGGCAGACCCGAAACUGAGUGAGCUACCCAUGGGCAGGUUGAAGCGAGGGUAAGACCUCGUGGAGGACCGAACGCACCUAGGUUGAAAACUGGGGCGAUGACCUGUGGGUCGGAGUGAAAGGCUAAUCAAACUCAGUGAUAUCUGGUUCUCUCCGAAAUAUAUUUAGGUAUAGCCUCGGAUAACAUGCGUAUUGGCCGUAGAGCACUGUUUGGGCGCGGGGUCUUACCGGAUUACCAAACUCAGGCAAACUCCGAAGACCAAUUACGUGUACUCCGGGAGUCAGUUGCUGGGGGAUAAACUUCAGCGUCAAAAGGGAAACAGCCCAGACCGCCAGCUAAGGUCCCUAAGUGUUAACUAAGUGGCAAACGAUGUUCGAGUGCACAGACAACCAGGAGGUUGGCUUAGAGGCAGCCACCCUUUAAAGAGUGCGUAAUAGCUCACUGGUCUAGUGCUCGAGCGCGGAUAAUGUAACGGGGCUCAAGUUAACCACCGAAGCUGCGGGUUUGCACUUUGUGCAAGCGGUAGGAGAGCGUUCGCUAUAGGUUGAAGCGGCAGCGGAAGCUCGCCGUGGACAGUAGUGAAGUGAGAAUGCUGGCAUGAGUAACGAAAGACAGGUGAGAAUCCUGUCCACCGAUUAUCUAAGGUUUCCUGGGCAACGUUCGUCGGCUCAGGGUUAGUCGGGACCUAAGGCGAGGCCGCAAGGCGUAGUCGAUGGCCAACAGGUUGAUAUUCCUGUACCACGUAGUAAUCGUUAUGACCGAUAGGGGGGACGAGGAAGGCUAGAGCAUCUCCGGCGUUGGUUGUCCGGGGACAAGCGUGUAGGAGGGACCGCGAUAAAUGCACGGUCCCAUUAAUCCGAGACGUGAUGUGAGGAGGCUUUCGAGCCUCCGACUGCUUGACGCCAUGCCUCCAAGAAAAGCCUCGUAGGCAGAUUACGCGUGCCCGUACCAAAACCGACACAGGUGGAUAAGUAGAGAAUACUAAGGUGAUCGAGAUAACCCUCGUUAAGGAACUCGGCAAAAUGGCUCCGUAACUUCGGGAUAAGGAGCGCCCUAUUAGAGUGAAGCCACUUGCUGGUGGAGCUCGAGGGGGCCGCAGUGAAAAGGUCCAAGCGACUGUUUACCAAAAACACAGGUCUCUGCUAAGUCGUAAGACGACGUAUAGGGGCUGACGCCUGCCCGGUGCCGGAAGGUUACGUGGAGAUGUUAGGUUCGCCGAAGCAUCGAAACUAAGCCCCGGUAAACGGCGGCCGUAACUAUAACGGUCCUAAGGUAGCGAAAUUCCUUGUCGGGUAAGUUCCGACCUGCACGAAUGGCGUAACGACUUGGACGCUGUCUCAACGAGGGGCUCGGUGAAAUUGCAGUCUCGGUGAAGAUGCCGAGUACUCGCAGCUAGACGGAAAGACCCCGUGAACCUUUACUGCACCCUGAUAUUGGCAUUCGAUCCAUUUCGCUCAGGAUAGGUGGGAGACGUUGAAGCAUCGGCUGCGGCUGGUGUGGAGUCAACCUUGAGAUACCACCCUUGAUGUAUUGGAUGUCUAACUGGUAACCGUGAUCCGGUGCCGGAACAGUGUCAGGCGGGUAGUUUGACUGGGGCGGUCGCCUCCUAAAAUGUAACGGAGGCGCGCAAAGGUUCCCUCAGUACGGUCGGAAAUCGUACGUAGAGUGUAAAAGCAAUAAGGGAGCUUGACUGCGAGACUGACAAGUCGAGCAGGUGCGAAAGCAGGCUUUAGUGAUCCGGCAGUAGCAAGUGGAAGCGCUGUCGCUCAACGGAUAAAAGGUACUCCGGGGAUAACAGGCUUAUCGGGCCCAAGAGUCCACAUCGACGGCCCGGUUUGGCACCUCGAUGUCGGCUCGUCGCAUCCUGGGGCUGGAGUAGGUCCCAAGGGUUGGGCUGUUCGCCCAUUAAAGCGGUACGCGAGCUGGGUUCAGAACGUCGCGAGACAGUUCGGUCCCUAUCUGCUGUGAGCGUUGGA
rnacentral:rRNA from 1 species